rnacentral:rRNA from 1 species
UACGUAGGGGGCAAGCGUUGUUCGGAAUUACUGGGCGUAAAGGGCUCGUAGGUGGCCAACUAAGUCAUACGUGAAAUCCCUCAGCUUAACUGGGGAACUGCGCCUGAUACUGGUUGGCUUGAGUUUGGGAGAGGGACGCGGAAUUCCAGGUGUAGCGGUGAAAUGCGUAGAUAUCUGGAGGAACACCGGUGGCGAAGGCGGCGUCCUGGACCAAUACUGACACUGAGGAGCGAAAGCCAGGGGAGCAAACGGG